GACCGCUCCGUUGGCAUAGUGGUUAGAGCGUCCGCCUUGGAUGCUGGAGAUCGCGGGUUCGAACCCCGGUUUAGUCA